GAUGAACGCUGGCGGCGUGCCUAAUACAUGCAAGUCGAGCGAACAGACGAGGAGCUUGCUCCUCUGACGUUAGCGGCGGACGGGUGAGUAACACGUGGAUAACCUACCUAUAAUACUGGGAUAACUUCGGGAAACCGGAUCUAAUACCGCAUAAUAUAUUCAACCGCAUGGUUCAAUAGUGAAAGACGGUUUUGCUGUCACUUAUAGAUGGAUCCGCGCCGGAUUAGCUAGUUGGUAAGGUAACGGCUUACCAAGGCGACGAUGCGUAGCCGACCUGAGAGGGUGAUCGGCCACACUGGAACUGAGACACGGUCCAGACUCCUACGGGAGGCAGCAGUAGGGAAUCUUCCGCAAUGGGCGAAAGCCUGACGGAGCAACGCCGCGUGAGUGAUGAAGGUCUUCGGAUCGUAAAACUCUGUUAUUAGGGAAGAACAAAUGUGUAAGUAACUAUGCACGUCUUGACGGUACCUAAUCAGAAAGCCACGGCUAACUACGUG
rnacentral:rRNA from 1 species